CAGAGUGGUCCAUAAUUAACUUUUGCUUGGUUGGCACUUCCAACCAGAUAUAAGGAGGCUGAGGCCCCAGCAUCCAUGAGUCAGAUACCUUCUUCCUCUGUGGGUCCUCCAAGAAGUACACAUUCAUCUGUAGGAGGGGAAAAAGAAGUUAUCCGUCACCAUGAGUACGGACGCUGAGAUGCAAGCCUACGGCAAGGCUGCCAUAUACCUCCGUAAAUCUGAGAAGGAGCGGAUGGAGGCACAAGCCACACCCUUUGAUUCAAAGAACGCCUGCUAUGUGACAGACAAGGUGGAGCUGUACCUUAAGGGUUUAGUCACUGCCAGGGCCGACGGGAAGUGUACUGUAACAGUCACGAAACCUGACGGCACUAAGGAGGAAGGAAAAGAGUUCAAAGAGGCAGACAUCUAUGAGAUGAACCCCCCUAAGUACGACAAGAUUGAGGACAUGGCCAUGAUGACCUACCUGAAUGAAGCCUCUGUGUUGUAUAACCUCAAAGAGCGUUAUGCAGCAUGGAUGAUCUAUACCUACUCUGGGCUCUUCUGUGCCACGGUGAACCCCUACAAGUGGCUCCCUGUGUAUGAUGAAGAGGUUGUCAACGCCUACAGAGGGAAGAAGAGGGUGGAGGCUCCACCCCAUAUCUUCUCCGUGUCUGACAACGCCUUUCAGUUCAUGAUGAUUGAUAAGGAGAACCAGUCCGUCCUGAUUACUGGAGAAUCCGGUGCAGGAAAGACUGUCAACACCAAGCGUGUCAUCCAGUACUUUGCCACCAUUGCAGUGUCUGGUGGCAAGAAGGAAGCAGACCCCAACAAAAUGCAGGGGUCUCUUGAGGAUCAGAUCAUUGCAGCUAACCCUCUGCUGGAGUCUUACGGUAAUGCCAAGACAGUGAGGAACGACAACUCGUCUCGCUUUGGUAAAUUCAUCAGGAUUCACUUCCAGGCUGGUAAACUGGCUAAAGCUGAUAUUGAGACCUACCUGCUGGAGAAGUCCAGAGUGUCCUUCCAGCUGCCCGAUGAGAGAGGCUACCACAUCUUCUUCCAGAUGAUGACAGGCCACAAACCUGAGCUAGUUGAAUUGGCGCUUCUCACCACCAACCCCUACGACUUCCCCAUGUGCAGUCAGGGACAGAUCGCUGUGGCCAGCAUCAAUGACAAUGAAGAGCUGGAUGCCACAGAUGAAGCCAUUACAAUCCUGGGCUUCACUAAUGAGGAGAAGCUUGGAAUCUACAAGCUGACAGGAGCUGUAGUGCACCAUGGCAACUUGAAAUUCAAGCAGAAGCAGCGUGAGGAGCAGGCCGAGCCAGACGGCACAGAGGUGGCUGAUAAAAUCGCCUACCUGCUGGGCCUGAACUCAGCUGAGAUGUUGAAGGCUCUGUGCUACCCCAGAGUGAAGGUCGGCAACGAGUAUGUGACCAAGGGACAGACUGUGGCUCAGGUUAAUAACUCAGUCAGUGCUCUGGCCAAGUCCAUCUAUGAGAGGAUGUUCUUGUGGAUGGUCAUCCGGAUCAAUGAGAUGUUGGACACCAAGAAUCCAAGGCAGUUCUAUAUCGGUGUGCUUGACAUUGCCGGGUUUGAGAUCUUUGAUUACAACAGCAUGGAGCAGCUGUGCAUCAACUUCACCAAUGAGAAACUGCAACAGUUUUUCAACCACACCAUGUUCGUCCUGGAGCAAGAGGAGUACAAGAAGGAGGGAAUCGUCUGGGCCUUCAUUGACUUCGGCAUGGACUUGGCUGCCUGCAUUGAGCUUAUUGAGAAGCCAUUGGGCAUCUUCUCCAUCCUUGAAGAGGAGUGCAUGUUCCCCAAGUCUUCAGACACUACCUUCAAGGACAAGCUGUACGCCCAGCAUCUUGGCAAAACAAAGGCGUUUGAGAAGCCCAAGCCUGCCAAAGGCAAGGCAGAGGCCCACUUCUCCCUGGUUCACUACGCCGGCACUGUGGACUACAACAUCACUGGAUGGCUGGAGAAGAACAAGGACCCCCUGAAUGACUCAGUUUGUCAGCUGUACGGGAAGUCAGGAGUCAAAAUUUUGGCUGCCCUGUAUCCACCUCCCCCUCCUGAGGAUAAAGCCAAGAAAGGAGGCAAGAAGAAGGGUGGUUCCAUGCAGACUGUGUCCUCCCAGUUCAGGGAGAACUUACAUAAGCUGAUGACCAACUUGAGGAGCACUCAUCCUCACUUUGUGCGCUGCCUGAUCCCCAACGAGUCAAAGACUCCAGGUCUGAUGGAGAACUUCCUGGUUAUCCACCAGCUCAGGUGUAAUGGUGUACUGGAGGGUAUCAGGAUCUGCAGAAAGGGAUUCCCCAGCAGAAUCAUCUAUGCUGACUUCAAGCAGAGGUACAAAGUACUGAAUGCCAGUGUCAUCCCUGAGGGCCAGUUCAUGGACAACAAGAAGGCUUCUGAGAAGCUGCUUGGGUCCAUUGAUGUGAAUCACGAGGAUUACAAGUUUGGACACACCAAGGUGUUCUUCAAAGCCGGUCUGCUGGGUGUCCUGGAGGAGAUGAGAGAUGAGAAACUGGCCGCUCUGGUCGGCAUGGUCCAGGCUCUCAGCCGUGGAUUCCUCAUGAGGAGAGAGUUCACCAAGAUGAUGGAGAGGAGAGAGUCUGUCUUCGCCAUCCAGUACAACAUCCGCUCAUUCAUGAAUGUCAAAACCUGGCCAUGGAUGAAGUUGUACUUCAAGAUCAAGCCCCUGCUGCAGAGCGCUGAGACUGAGAAGGAGCUGGCCAACAUGAAGGAGAACUAUGAGAAGAUGAAGACAGACCUGGCAAAGGCUCUGUCCACAAAGAAGCAAAUGGAGGAGAAGUUGGUGGCCCUGACGCAGGAGAAGAACGACCUGGCACUCCAAGUCGCAUCUGAAGGAGAGAGUCUGAACGAUGCUGAGGAAAGGUGUGAGGGGCUCAUCAAGAGCAAGAUCCAGCAGGAGGCCAAACUCAAAGAGACGACCGAGAGGCUGGAGGAUGAGGAGGAGAUCAAUGCUGAGUUGACUGCCAAGAAGAGGAAGCUGGAGGAUGAGUGCUCUGAGCUGAAGAAGGACAUUGAUGACCUGGAGCUCACCCUGGCCAAAGUGGAGAAGGAGAAGCACGCCACUGAAAACAAGGUUAAAAACCUGACAGAGGAGAUGGCGUCUAUGGAUGAGAGUGUUGCCAAGCUGACCAAGGAGAAGAAAGCCCUCCAAGAGGCCCACCAGCAGACACUGGAUGACCUGCAGGCAGAGGAGGACAAAGUCAACACUCUGACCAAGGCCAAGACCAAGCUGGAACAGCAAGUGGACGACCUUGAGGGUUCUCUGGAGCAAGAGAAGAAGCUCCGUAUGGACCUUGAGAGAUCCAAGAGAAAGCUGGAGGGAGAUCUGAAACUGGCCCAGGAGUCCAUAAUGGACCUGGAGAAUGACAAGCAGCAAGCUGAUGAGAAAAUCAAGAAGAAGGAGUUUGAGACCACCCAGCUCCUCAGCAAGGUUGAGGAUGAACAGUCUCUGGGAGCUCAGCUGCAGAAGAAGAUCAAGGAACUCCAGGCCCGUAUUGAGGAGCUGGAGGAGGAAAUUGAGGCUGAGCGUGCUGCCAGGGCUAAGGUUGAGAAGCAGAGGGCCGAUCUCUCCAGGGAACUUGAGGAGAUCAGCGAGAGGCUGGAGGAGGCCGGAGGCGCCACUGCUGCUCAGAUUGAGAUGAACAAGAAGCGUGAGGCUGAGUUCCAGAAGCUGCGUCGUGAUCUUGAAGAGUCCACCCUGCAGCAUGAGGCCACAGCCGCCGCUCUGCGCAAGAAGCAGGCCGACAGUGUGGCUGAGCUCGGGGAGCAGAUCGACAACCUGCAGCGCGUCAAGCAGAAGCUGGAGAAGGAGAAGAGCGAGUACAAGAUGGAGAUUGAUGACCUGUCCAGCAACAUGGAGGCCGUCGCCAAGGCUAAGGGCAAUCUGGAGAAGAUGUGCCGUACUCUUGAGGACCAGCUGAGUGAGCUGAAGACUAAGAAUGAUGAGAAUGUUCGCCAGGUCAACGACAUCAGCGGACAGAGGGCCAGACUCCUGACAGAAAAUGGUGAGUUUGGCCGCCAGCUGGAGGAGAAGGAAGCCCUGGUGUCUCAGCUGACCAGAGGAAAACAGGCCUUCACCCAGCAGGUGGAGGAGCUGAAGAGGGCGAUUGAGGAGGAGGUCAAGGCUAAAAACGCACUGGCCCACGGUGUUCAGUCUGCCCGCCAUGACUGUGACCUCCUGAGGGAGCAGUUUGAGGAGGAGCAGGAGGCCAAGGCAGAGCUGCAACGCGGCAUGUCCAAGGCCAACAGUGAGGUGGCUCAGUGGAGGACUAAGUAUGAAACUGAUGCUAUCCAGCGCACAGAGGAGCUGGAGGAGGCCAAGAAGAAGCUGGCCCAGCGUCUGCAGGAUGCUGAGGAGACCAUUGAGGCGACCAACUCCAAGUGCGCCUCCCUGGAGAAGACCAAGCAGAGGCUGCAGGGAGAGGUGGAGGACCUCAUGAUUGAUGUUGAGAGAGCCAACGCAUUGGCCGCCAACCUCGACAAGAAGCAGAGGAACUUUGACAAGGUUCUGGCAGAGUGGAAGCAGAAGUAUGAGGAGGGCCAGGCUGAGCUGGAAGGAGCUCAGAAGGAGGCUCGCUCUAUGAGCACUGAACUCUUCAAGAUGAAGAACUCCUAUGAGGAGGCUCUGGAUCAUCUGGAGACUCUGAAGAGAGAGAACAAGAACCUGCAACAGGAGAUCUCUGACCUGACUGAGCAGAUCGGAGAGACUGGCAAGAGCAUCCAUGAGCUGGAGAAGGCCAAGAAGACUGUGGAGACAGAGAAGUCUGAGAUCCAGACCGCUCUGGAGGAGGCUGAGGGAACACUGGAGCACGAGGAAUCCAAGAUUCUGCGUGUGCAGCUGGAGCUGAACCAGAUCAAGGGUGAGGUGGACAGGAAGAUCGCUGAGAAGGAUGAGGAGAUGGAGCAGAUCAAGAGGAACAGCCAGAGGGUGGUUGACUCCAUGCAGAGCACCCUGGACUCUGAGGUCAGGAGCAGGAAUGAUGCCCUGAGGGUGAAGAAGAAGAUGGAGGGAGACCUGAACGAGAUGGAGAUCCAGCUGAGCCACUCCAACAGGCAGGCCUCUGAGGCCCAGAAACAGCUGAGGAACGUCCAGGGACAGCUCAAGGAUGCCCAAUUGCACCUUGAUGACGCCGUCCGUGUUGCAGAGGACAUGAAGGAGCAGGCAGCCAUGGUGGAGCGCAGAAACGGUCUGAUGGUGGCUGAAAUCGAGGAGCUGAGAGUUGCUCUGGAGCAGACAGAGAGAGGCCGCAAAGUGGCUGAGACUGAGCUGGUAGACGCCAGCGAGCGUGUUGGACUGCUGCACUCCCAGAACACCAGCCUUCUGAACACCAAGAAGAAGCUGGAGACUGACCUGGUGCAGGUGCAGGGAGAGGUGGACGACAUCGUCCAGGAGGCCAGGAAUGCAGAGGAGAAGGCCAAGAAGGCCAUCACUGAUGCGGCCAUGAUGGCUGAGGAGCUGAAGAAGGAGCAGGACACCAGUUCUCACCUGGAGAGGAUGAAGAAGAACCUGGAGGUCACAGUCAAGGACCUGCAGCACCGCCUGGAUGAGGCUGAGAAUCUGGCCAUGAAGGGAGGCAAGAAGCAGCUCCAGAAACUGGAGUCCAGGGUGCGUGAGCUCGAGACUGAGGUGGAGGCAGAGCAGAGAAGAGGUGUAGACGCAGUCAAGGGAGUCCGGAAGUAUGAGCGCAGAGUCAAGGAGCUCACUUACCAGACUGAGGAGGAUAAGAAGAACGUUGGCAGACUUCAGGACCUGGUAGAUAAGCUGCAGAUGAAAGUGAAGGCCUACAAGAGGCAUUCUGAGGAAGAACUGAGUCACUGACAAAACUUCAUGUCCAUACAACUUAGUUUGAAGUGUUGCUACAGCAACAACACAUCAGUCAACAAUGACAAUUGACAGUGCCAGUAAAUGCUGAUGAAAUUAUGCAAAUUUCUAAAUGCCUCCUAUUCUUUACCAACUUAAAGGAGAUGGGGUUGAAUAUGAAUUAGCUGCACCAGGGGCUGGUCUAGUGAUCCUUCUGGAGGCAGUGGUUUGAUCCCCUGUUCUGCCACUCACUUCCUCUGCUGUAUCAUCCAGCUCCCUGUAUACAUUGUUAUCCUAAAAACAGAAUAUUAAUUUGCUUCCUGGUUUCAAACUUUAAAUGCUGAUGUUCUGCUCUCCCUCUCUUUUCCUCACCCAGGAGGAAGCAGCAAACCAGCACAUGUCUAAGUUCAGGAAGGUUCAGCAUGAGCUGGAGGAGGCUGAGGAGCGUGCUGACAUCGCUGAGACUCAGGUCAACAAGCUCAGAGCCAAGACCCGUGACUCUGGAAAGGGAAAAGAAGUUGCUGAAUAAACAAGACCAAAGUAUUGAAGAUCAAAGUCUUACCAUUUUCCUGUGAUGCAUAAAAUAUGAUUUUCAUGGUGAAAUGUUGAGCAUUGAUUAAAAACAUGUGGAUCUACAUACA